rnacentral:lncRNA from 1 species
AAUGAAAUGAGCUAAGCAAACGUAAUCUGUGCAGUCCUCUCAUGUGCUUUUGCAAGGCACAGUGGCUUAUAUCAGUAUUCAUGAUAUGUUUGUCACAAAGCUCUUAUCAUCACAGGGUAGCUUACAACAUACUCAUGGGGAUUUCUGGAGCCCUCAAGUCUGUGUAUUCUUGGGCCAACAAUAGAAGUGAGGCCCCACCACCUUCACAUGCACAGGUGUCCUGGAAGAGAGUGGUGGUAUGCUGA